GAUGAACGCUAGCGGCAGGCCUAACACAUGCAAGUCGAGGGGCAGCACAGAAACAGCAAUGUUUUGGUGGCGACCGGCGGACGGGUGCGUAACGCGUAUGCAACCUACCUUUAACAGGGGGAUAACGGAGAGAAAUUUCCACUAAUACCCCAUAACAUCGAUCAAGGCAUCUUGAUUGGUUGAAAACUCCGGUGGUUAAAGAUGGGCAUGCGUUGUAUUAGGUAGUUGGUGAGGUAAUGGCUCACCAAGCCUACGAUACACAGGGGGACUGGGAGGUUAGCCCCCCACACUGGUACUGAGACACGGACCAGACUCCUACGGGAGGCAGCAGUGAGGAAUAUUGGUCAAUGGGGGCAACCCUGAACCAGCCAUGCCGCGUGCAGGAAGACGGCUCUAUGAGUUGUAAACUGCUUUUAAACAGGGAUAAAGCAUAGUAUGUAUACUGUGUUGAAGGUACUGUAAGAAUAAGGAUCGGCUAACUCCGUGCCAGCCGCCGCCGUAA
rnacentral:rRNA from 1 species